GUGGGGAAUAUUGGACAAUGGGCGAAAGCCUGAUCCAGCCAUGCCGCGUGUGUGAAGAAGGUCUUCGGAUUGUAAAGCACUUUAAGUUGGGAGGAAGGGCAGUAAGUUAAUACUUUGCUGUUUUGACGUUACCGACAGAAUAAGCACCGGCUAACUUCGUGCCAGCAGCCGCGGUAAUACGAAGGGUUCAAGCGUUAAUCGGAAUUACUGGGCGUAAAGCGCGCGUAGGUGGUUUUGUAAGUUGGAGGUGAAUUCCCCGGGCUCUACCUGGGAACUGCCUCAAAAACUGCAUGACUAGAGUACGGUAGAGGGUAGUGGAAUUUCCUGUGUAGCGGUGAAAUGCGUAGAUAUAGGAAGGAACACCAGUGGCGAAGGCGACUACCUGGACUGAUACUGACACUGAGGUGCGAAAGCGUGGGGAGCAAACAGGAUUAGAAACCCCAGUAGUCC
rnacentral:rRNA from 1 species